UAAUCGGAUCAGGGUUAGUCGGGUCCUAAGGCUCAGCCGAACGGUGAGGCCGAUGGCAGAACAGGUUAAUAUUCCUGUACUACCUAUAAGAGUGAUGUGGAGACGGAGGAGUGACAACGCCGCGGACUGACGGAAUAGUCCGUUAAAGGGUGUAGAUGUUGAUUAUCCCAGGCAAAUCCGGGAUAAGAGUCGAACCUGACAGUAUACCAAUUUCCUCGGAAAACGGUAAUAGUGCGUGUAAACAUACUCCCAAGAAAAUCCGCUAAACUUAAUCUUAUAGGUACCCGUACCGUAAACGGACACACGUAGUCGGGUUGAAUAUACUCAGGCGCUUGAGUGAAUCACGGUUAAGGAACUAGGCAAAUUGACCCUGUAACUUCGGGAUAAAGGGUCCCUACCCGGUGACGGGAGGGCGCAGAGAAUAGGUCCAGGCAACUGUUUAACAAAAACACAGGGCUGUGCAAAAUUGAAAGAUCACGUAUACAGCCUGACACCUGCCCGGUGCUGGAAGGUUAAGAGGAGAUGUCAUCGCAAGAGAAGCAUUGAAUUGAAGCCCCAGUAAACGGCGGCCGUAACUAUAACGGUCCUAAGGUAGCGAAAUUCCUUGUCGGGUAAGUUCCGACCUGCACGAAUGGUGUAAUGAUCUGGACACUGUCUCAACCGUGAGCUCAGUGAAAUUGUAGUAUCGGUGAAGAUGCCGAUUACCCGCGAUGGGACGAAAAGACCCCGUGAACCUUUACUAUAGCUUAACAUUGAAUUUGGGUAAUUGAUGUGUAGGAUAGGCCGGAGACUUUGAAGC
rnacentral:rRNA from 1 species